CCUACGGGGUGCAGCAGUCGAGAAUCAUUCACAAUGGGGGAAACCCUGAUGGUGCGACGCCGCGUGGGGGAAUGAAGGUCUUCGGAUUGUAAACCCCUGUCAUGUGGGAGCAAAUUAAAAAGAUAGUACCACACGAGGAAGAGACGGCUAACUCUGUGCCAGCAGCCGCGGUAAUACAGAGGUCUCAAGCGUUGUUCGGAAUCACGGGGCGUAAAGCGGGCGUAGGCUGUUUCGUAAGUCGUGUGUGAAAGGCGCGGGCUCAACCCGCGGAAGGCACAUGAUACUGCGAGACUAGAGUAAUGGAGGGGGAACCGGAAUUCUCGGUGUAGCAGUGAAAUGCGUAGAUAUCGAGAGGAACACUCGUGGCGAAGGCGGGUUCCUGGACAUUAACUGACGCUGAGGCACGAAGGCCAGGGGAGCGAAAGGGAUUAGAUACCCGAGUAGUC
rnacentral:rRNA from 1 species